CAGCCGCCGCGGUAAUACGAAGGGGGCUAGCGUUGCUCGGAAUGACUGGGCGUAAAGGGCGCGUAGGCGGCGGCCAAAGUCAGGCGUGAAAUUCCCGGGCUCAACCUGGGGGCUGCGUUUGAUACUUGGUUGCUUGAGUGGGGAAGAGGGUCGUGGAAUUCCCAGUGUAGAGGUGAAAUUCGUAGGUAUUGGGAAGAACACCGGUGGCGAAGGCGGCGACCUGGUCCUUUACUGACGCUGAGGCGCGAAAGCGUGGGGAGCAAACAGGAUUAGAUACCCCUGUAGUCCCUGUCUCUUAUAA
rnacentral:rRNA from 1 species